CCUACGGGUGGCUGCAGUGGGGAAUAUUGGACAAUGGGGGCAACCCUGAUCCAGCAAUGCCGCGUGUGUGAAGAAGGCCUGCGGGUUGUAAAGCACUUUCAGUAGGGAAGAAAAGCACGGGGCUAAUACCUCCGGGUCUUGACGUUAACUAAAGAAGAAGCACCGGCUAACUACGUGCCAGCAGCCGCGGUAAUACGGAGGGUGCGAGCGUUAAUCGGAAGUAGUGGGCGGGGUGCGCAGGAAGGGGGAUCCCUGGGCUUAACCCGGGAACUGCAUUCGAGACUGCCCGGCUAGAGUAUGGGAGAGGGAAGCGGAAUUUCCGGUGUAGCGGUGAAAUGCGUAGAUAUCGGAAGGAACACCAAUGGCGAAGGCAGCUUCCUGGCCCAAUACUGACGCUGAGGUGCGAAAGCGUGGGGAUCAAACAGGAUUAGAUACCCCUGUAGUC
rnacentral:rRNA from 1 species